rnacentral:sRNA from 1 species
AUAUUUGAAUAAGUUUGAUAUCAUAAACUUAUAAAUAUAAAUUUCUAGUGAUUAGUGAAGAAUCGUAAUAUAUGAUUGGGAUAUUAUUGAUUAUUGAUUUCGUGAUUGAAUAUAGUGUUUUUAAGGAUGAAAUGUGAUUAUAUUUUGAUUUCAAAAACGACAUAGAUUCCUUAUUUUUGUUGAACGGUUUAGAUUGAAGGGAAUUAAUUUUAUUGAACGGUUUAGAUUGAAUUGGAUCAUAUAAAGUUUAGGAGAUUGUUAAGACCAAAUUACCUUUACUGAUUUUGAAUAGCAAAGAACAAAAUUCAAAAUUGAAGCCAAAUUAGACAAAAUUUCAAUUUGUACUUCCCUUUUAAUAAUAAAGGGAUUAAAAAUUAAUGUGUA